rnacentral:rRNA from 1 species
GACGAACGCUGGCGGCGUGCUUAACACAUGCAAGUCGAACGGAAAGGCCCUGCUUGCCGGGUACUCGAGUGGCGAACGGGUGAGUAACACGUGGGUGAUCUGCCCUGCACUUCGGGAUAAGCCUGGGAAACUGGGUCUAAUACCGGAUAGGAGCCAUUUUUAGUGUGAUGGUUGGAAAGUUUUUUCGGUGUAGGAUGAGCUCGCGGCCUAUCAGCUUGUUGGUGGGGUAAUGGCCUACCAAGGCGGCGACGGGUAGCCGGCCUGAGAGGGUGGACGGCCACAUUGGGACUGAGGUACGGCCCAGACUCCUACGGGAGGCAGAAGUGGGGAAUAUUGCACAAUGGGCGCAAGCCUGAUGCAGCGACGCCGCGUGGGGGAUGACGGCCUUCGGGUUGUAAACUCCUUUCGCUAGGGACGAAGCUUUUUGUGACGGUACCUAGAUAAGAAGCACCGGCUAACUACGUG